rnacentral:rRNA from 1 species
AGGUAAUAUUAUUAUAAAAACCUAUUUCUUUUGGCGGCCUUUUUUCUAUUCAAAGGAACUUGUUAUUUAAUCGAUAUAUCACGAUAAAUUUCACUUUAUUUAUGUUUUUAUACCGUCGUCUAAAGAAUUAAUUUUCAUACUUAUUUCCAGAUUACUCCUCACCCAAGUCAGAUCAAGGUGAAGCUUUUAAUAUAGAUUAAAUGAGUUAUUUAUUAGAAUUACUAACGAAUUAUAUAUGAAAAUACAAAUGAAUUAAGAUUUGAUUGUACUAGAAAAUCAAAAAAUUUCUAAGAAUCAGUAAAAAAGGUGC